GAUGAACGCUGGCGGCGUGCCUAAUACAUGCAAGUCGAGCGAACGGACGAGAAGCUUGCUUCUCUGAUGUUAGCGGCGGACGGGUGAGUAACACGUGGAUAACCUACCUAUAAGACUGGGAUAACUUCGGGAAACCGUAGCUAAUACCGGAUAAUAUUUUGAGCCGCAUGGUUCAAAAGUGAAAGACGGUCUUGCUGUCACUUAUAGAUGGAUCCGCGCUGCAUUAGCUAGUUGGUAAGGUAACGGCUUACCAAGGCAACGAUGCAUAGCCGACCUGAGAGGGUGAUCGGCCACACUGGAACUGAGACACGGUCCAGACUCCUACGGGAGGCAGCAGUAGGGAAUCUUCCGCAAUGGGCGAAAGCCUGACGGAGCAACGCCGCGUGAGUGAUGAAGGUCUUCGGAUCGUAAAACUCUGUUAUUAGGGAAGAACAUAUGUGUAAGUAACUGUGCACAUCCUGACGGUACCUAAUCAGAAAGCCACGGCUAACUACGUG
rnacentral:rRNA from 1 species